rnacentral:lncRNA from 1 species
CUGACAUGAGAUCAAUUCACUUUCACAAUAUGAUCUUCUAAGAGACAAUAAAUUACACACUUUCUAUUUAGUAUCUAGUCGGCAUCUAAUUGCAUUUUGAUUUGUUUCUUGAUGUGCGGCUGGAGUGCUGAGAAUUGGACAUAGAGGAUACAUUGUGCCACAGUACGGCUUCUGCAGGAUACAGCAAUUAUUAUAAAUGCUGGUGGAUUAACUACUACAGUAUUGCAGCCUGACAAAAUGACACAUCUGUAUUAGAUCACUGG